ACCUACUUGACUCAGUGGUUAGAGUAUCGCUUUCAUACGGCGAGAGUCAUUGGUUCAAAUCCAAUAGUAGGUA
rfam:Nicotiana sylvestris Nsyl_contig49053, whole genome shotgun sequence.